UUAGGAUUGUGGCCUUUCAACG
rnacentral:miRNA from 1 species